CAGCAGCCGCCGCGGUAUUCCAAAUCUGUUUAAAAAACGCACGAUUUCGCCUGGACGCGCGGCAAUCCUGGCCAAUACUGGAGAUUACUGGUGCGCGGCAUCUCCCCCCAAGUGCCCCGCCAGCCAAGGUACCGUGGACCGCGUACCUUGAUUUACUCCUAAUGGUCUUGACCCGGAUUCAUCCCCCAGAACCCGG
rfam:Pseudomonas sp. EGD-AK9 Contig_59, whole genome shotgun sequence.